GCAAAACAGGCAACGGGCCUGAACUCACAGAGCACUAAUGUCGGCCCAGGAAGCAGGGAUUAAGCACAGAACACCACCAGAUUAAAGAAUUCAUUGCAAACAUGAAAACAAGAAACUUUGAACGACCUCAGAGAACAUGAUGAUGUGAACUGUACUGAUUGCAUUAAAAUAUGUAAAGGAAAUGAGGAAAUAUCACCAAACCACAUGGUAGAGAGACUUGGUCCCCUGCUGCUGGGCACGUCCUCCAGGGAAAGAGAUGGAGCAGUGAGUGGCACGGCGGUGGCCCCUCAAAGUCUCUUCUCCGAGGAGCCCACUGUGAGACAAGUUUCCAAGGUUCACCACCGAGAACCCCAGAGGAACAUUUGGGAGGCCGAGUUUCUCCAGAGGCCUUGCAGAGCAGCCCGAGGAGUACUUCCCAACAGGAAGGAGGACGUUACCCGUGGACCCCCCCGCCUCCCUGCCUGCCUCACCUGGUUCUCAGCCUGAUUGCGUUUCUGAUGUCCACCCCUCCUCUCAUGUUGCUUUACUUAGAACCCUUUAUUUUGUUGCUUAUACAGUAUUUGUCGGAUUUGGGGCAACAUUAAAGCCGCUGCCAUCUAAAU
rnacentral:lncRNA from 1 species